UCUAAUAAAAUUAUCAAACAUCAAGAGUCUCUUUUAAGGUUGUGAUACCAAGCGCAUUGUAUCUUAUCAUCUAUUUAAGAAAAAACAUGUCAUUCUUAAAGUUUCUCAUCUCAAUUACGUUGUCAUAAUAUGUGAAGUCUUGCUUGAGAAUGCUCCGAGCAUCUGGCUGUAGAAGAUAGAAUGGAAAUUACAACAACAAAAUCCUAAUUCUAAUAGAAUACUAACAAUUCUAAAUAAGCUUUAAUCAAAUUCAAAGAAAUCUCAAAGAAAUUUUAAAGAAACAAUAAAAAAACUUAAAAAAAUAUUAGAAUUAUUACAAAUAUAUCUCAAAUACAUCUCAAUUCAAUCUUAAUUUCAUCCUAGUUAAAAUCCUAUUGGACUUCAUUCAAUCUUUAAGCCAAAACUAACUAAAUCUUAAAUCUUAACAAACUCUAAUAAAAUCCUAAAUCCUAAACUAAACCCUAAACAAAUCCUAAACCAAAUUCCAACCAAAUCCUAAAUCAAAUCCUAAUCAAACCUUAAAUCCUAAAUCAAAUCCUAAACCUAAACCAAAUCCCAACCAAAUCCUAAACCAAAUCCUAAAUCCUAAAUCCUAAAUCAAACUCUAAACAAAUCCUAUAUCAAAUCCUAAACCAAAUCCUAAAAACUAAAUCAAAUCUUAACCAAAUCUUAAUCCUAAAUCAAAUCCUAAACCUAAACCAAACUCUAAUCAAACCCUAAAUCCUAAAUCAAAUCCUAAUCAAACUCUAAACCUUAAACCAAAUCUUAACCAAAUUCUAAAUCCUAAA
rnacentral:lncRNA from 1 species